UAGCCGUGCGCGAGCUUUUCUUCGCUUCGUGUACGCCCACCGACAGCAGGGCAACAUUGGGAGCAGUGGAAGCAGCACAGUGUGAGGAUUCACCACACCUGUACGAAGUACGAUGCCACGAUGCAGAACGCACCCUUCAACGAGGACAUGGAUCAUCGUUCCAAGCAAUUUGUCAACGGCCCAGACUUCGCUUCGAAUAUCCACGACCCAUUGCCGCGUACAGCCUGACAUACACCACACGGAAUAGCGUACAGCCGCUCCCUGUGGAUUGAACGACGAAUAACUCCUGUCCAUGGCCAAGCGGCCAGAAUGCAUGCACGGAGGUUGCUACAUACAGUCCAAGCGUAGGGUAGUAAACCGGAUCUGCACCGUCACCACUGGCGACGCAAAUGUAAACGCGGCCAGCAAAGAGAGCAACGAUCCAAAGGUGACGUCCUAACUCUGCGAGGCCAGUUUCCGAACUGCUCUACUGCUGACGCUUCUUCCUGGCUUGGUUGCGGUGUCAUCAUGCGUAGUGCCUUCUCAGGCGCCGUCGUUAUGCGCUGAUGGCGUUCCAGCAAUACGCCUGUGGAAGCUGCCUACAACCAAUAUUUCUGCAUAUCUACCGUUGCCACAUCCGAAAACCACUGGUCCUCAUCCCACCCAGGCUGGCCCCAUCGUCAACGACAAUCGUCUUGGUGCCUGCCAUAAAGCUGGUGCCCCGAUCCGCAUCGCCCUGUGUGCUUGGUGACUGUGCCACAAACGAGUCAUCUAACCCUCUGCGUUUCUCCAUGCAGUGUCACAUCGACAAGGUCACUGCAUUGGACUGCACGGGAUCAUCAGUAGAAGUCGUAGACCUGGGUUACAGGGACACGAUAGCACGUGAACUGCUCAAGGAGUUUCGUGUACGACGAAGUAAUUCCCAGUGUGCAAAUGACACUGCUCUCCCACCGUGCAGCGUGGAAAACGCAGCACAAAUAAGCAGAGGGGACGAGAGCCAACGCUGUGUACAUCGAAUUAUGUCACACGACGAAUAAGCCCAAGCAUCUCACUUGACCUAGGCAAAGUUAUCUGGAUGAAGCUGUGCUCUAGGCACGUGUGCGGCGCAGCAACUAUCAAGUCCAGCGGCCAUUGCAUCGACUACGACUGGGACGUCGGCAUCCGGAAGGGGGCACCUGCUAGCUUGACGUCACCAACUAGGUAGGAUUUAAGAGGACGCUACCGUGAGACCCCCGUAAUUUUUGAGGCGGGUUGUGGCAACUGGAGCCUGUGCUGACUGCUUCCUACUUGCUCUGCGAGUUGGUGUCUGUUUCUACACGCGAUUGUGCAUUCCUUUUUGCCACGACUGCUACCUCGUAAUACGUGCUUCUUCUUUACUGUGUGUAUUUGGUAUCUUUGCUGGCCAUGCCGUCCAAUGCCGAGCUGGCGAAAAAAAAUAAUAAUUUGCUUGACUCAUUGCUUUGCUCUAGUCAUGACGCUGUCACUAAUGAUUUAACAGCUAAAAUUAAAAAGUUAGCUCAGGUAGGCCACGGGGAAGGCACGUCCCUAGGUGAGAGUGUGCGAUUUCUGUGCGACAGUUUUGACUCUAUCAAGGUGAAACAGGAUUAACUCACACUAACUAACAAGGAACUGAUUGCGCAAAAUGAGGCGCUAACCAGAAGAGUUACGGAACUCGAGCAGUAUUCGCGGCUAAAUAAUGUUGAAAUUAAGGGCCUACAAGUCACUCAGGGCGAGGACUAUGAAGCGGAUGGGUGAAGCUAUUCAAUGUCUUGUCACUCCCAGCGACUUUGAUGCAAUCCAUCGCGUCGUCUCAACUAAAUCAGACGAAAAGAACAUUGUCGCGAGGUUUUGUCGCCGGGACAUGAAAAACGACUUUGUCCGUAAAGCGCUAGGCCCGUCCGAGCACGUCUGAUGUUGGCUUCUCCGGUAGCUGUGAUACGGCAAUUUAUGUGAAGGAUCGCCUGUCUCCGAGAACAAACGAUUGCUUGCCAAGGCUCUUACACUGAAAAAAAAAAAACAGCGCACAAAUGGCAAUUUCUGUGGACUGACAAUUGCAGUAUCAAGGCCCGCAAAUCUAGUGAUAGCAGGGUGUAUCGUAUUGUAAAGGAAAGUGACCUAAGCAUUUGUAUUUAGCAUUGUGUAAACCUCCCUGCCUUUCACCUUCAUUCUCUCUCUCUUUAAGCCUGAAAGCAACACUUUCUGAUAUGCGAAUUUCCGUCUUCUCCGCUGGGCCACCUUACUUUUCCGGACUGAUGCCUUGCUUAGUGAGAAAGCUGACUUGCAAAAUUUCCUUGAUACGGCUAAUGAAAUGCUAUGUUAGUGGUUUGGCUUCACGUUUUUUUAAGCACCACCUCUAUGACGUUUGAGUACCAAUACGAAAUAGACUGAUUACAUUGUGCAAUUACAGUAUUUAAGUAUUAAAUGUUUAACAUUAGAUUGUAUCACGCAGAAAUAUCAUCUCAUAAAUAACUCGCACGUUUUUGUACGCGCUCUAAAUUUAUCUUUAUGGCAAGUCAUCUUAGCGACAACAAAUUACUUUAGUAUUCACAGAAGGAAAAAACAUUCAUAUCUGCUGAAGUACGAAGCCGCUGCAUAUUCUGCGAAGCUUGCUUUGCCUGGUUUUUCUACGCCACAAGUAAAUGUCGGCUAGUCAAUGCAUUCGCGAAAAGCAGUAGUCAACGCCUCUCAGUGCAAUGAACAUCUUGGUGAGAUCUAAUAAAAAAAAUGCUGCAUAUUAUUGUCAUUGUUGUCUGUAGGAGAACAUCGCUCAAUAACAUUGCGCAGGUCCUACGGCCAUAUGCGUAAAUACGGCACUUAGUUAGCUCUCAAAUCAGGGGGAUCACUUCACGAUUCUGAGUUUAAAGGGACACUUAACUGAAAUAGUAUGCGUUAAUAAAUUACGCUUAUGCGAUACCAACACGGCCACUCCUUCAGUAAAGAAUGCCUGGUAAGGCAAAAAAAAAAAAAAGAAACGCAAUAACGAGAGAUGCGUGGGGACUCAAGCGUCAAGUUCUCUCCACAGCUUGCCAUGACGUCAUGGAUAUCGACAACGUCUUUUCGAGUCUGCAGUUUCAACAGUUAAGGCCAAACUACACGUACGCUUGCCGGCGCGCCCUGACGCCUACAAGACGCCCGCCACUGCCCGCCACCGCACCUGCGCCUGCCUGCGCUUCGCUCUAUCAAUGUUUCUAUACUUGGCUCACAUUUUUGUUUUGGUAGACAUCGUUUCGUAUUUUUGUGAGACAGCCAGAGCACCGACACUUAUCUGGAGAAGAUAGACAGUUUGAGAAAAGCGUUUGCAUGCCCUUACGCAGAUUAAACGCAAGCACCUUUUCGGGAUGUUUGGUGUGUGCCCUUCAAGAGAGAGAGA